rnacentral:rRNA from 1 species
AUCGAUCGCUGGUAGCGUGGAUUAAGCAUGCAGUCGAACGGGAUCGGGGAGGUAGCAAUAUCGACCCGUGAGAGUGGCGGAGGGCGCCCGCACACGUGGGCAACCUGUCCUUGAGGUGGGGAAACCGUUGGAAACGACGGCUAAUACCGAAUGUGGCGCCGGGAGGCAUCUUCCGAGCGCCAAAGGGGCCGAAAGGCUCUCCCUCUUCGAGGGGCUCGCGCACCAUCAGCUUGUUGGCGGGGUAACGGCCCACCAAGCUCACGGUUAGCUGGUCUGAGAGGAUGGCCAGUCUUUACUGUGACUGAGAUACUGCCAGACUCCUACGGGAGGCUGCAGUCGAGAUCAUUCCGCAAUGGGGGAAACCCUGACGAUGCGACGCUGCGUGGGAGGAUGAAGCCCUCCGGGUUGUAACUCUGUCUUGAUCGUAUCAUGAUUAGGGACCAACCGUCCCUUAUUUGAUGGUACGUCAAGAAGAAAAAACUGCUUAUUCUGUGCAGCAGCCGCGGUAAUACGAGGUCUCGAACGUGUUCCGAUUACUCUGGGCGUAAAGGCGCGUAGCGGCGAUGUGGUCGGAUGUUGAAUCCCGGGCUACCGGAAAGGCGUCGAACAUCCGUCGCAGUGCGGGAUGGAUCGAUUGGUUACGGGAUGCUUGAUUCUUAAAACCGAGCACGGAUCUGACAUGAGCUAGGCAUCGGACACGAUAAUCUGAUCCACUAGGCCGGGGGGAUACUCCCCACGUAUGCUGGAGCCGCAAUCAAUGGCCCACGACAGAGGAUAGGAACUGUAUUUCGAAGCCUUCGCCGGGU